AAAGUAUUUGACUUGUAUCACAUUCAUGUUUCUUCUUGAUGGUCCCACUAGCUCUGGGAGCAGUAGGUCAUCCUACUAACAGGACAAACCAAAGGAGGCGCAGUAUCGUAUUGGAUCCCCCUUACAUGAGUUGGGAGCAGACCGAGAUCAGUCAGCGUGAUGAACCUGGGGGGCCCCUCGGCACCGUGAUGCAGUGGAGGACGACGCUGACAACGUCGAUGAUUAUCAACUUUAAUGUGAUGUUCGACCAGGUUUUACAUUGGAUACACAAUUUAUUUAAGAAAAUGAGAGGGGAGAUGAGACGCUGAGUUAGAGAAUGUAUUGAUUUGGUGCCAUGCCCCGCUGUAAUGUGAUUCGCUAAGAUCAAAUAAUGAAAAAAGUCAUGAAGAAAACAAAAACAUGCACAGUAUAUUGCAAUGCACCGGCUGACUGGAACCAACUGGACCCUGAUUAGCUUCUACCCCCAAACCAGAAGACUGCUAAAUAGUUAAGACUAUAUGCACAGACCCUAUAUGCACAGACACUAUAUGCACUAACUAUUUUGACUCUACCCUCACACUGACACUGCAACACGCGUGUGUGUGUGUACACACACACACAAGCAUACUGUCGAAACACACACUUGCUCUCAUCACAUACGCUACUGUGAAUAUAGCCACGUUAUCGUUACUCAUUGUGUAUUUAUUCCUUGUGUUACUAUUUUUCUAUUAUGUUUUCUCCUUUACACUGUAAGCUGGUGGACCUGUAAGCAUUUCACUGUCUACACCUGUUUAUGAAGUAUGCAACAAAUCAAAUUGGAUUUGAAUGGAAGGAGAUCGAGAGAAGAUUGAGGUUCAGAGAACAGCGAGGCAGACUGGUAAACUAUGUGAGGGGAAAACAACAGGAAAGGGAAUGAUGAGGGAAAAGAGUGACAGAUCACAUGGAGAAACCAACAUUGUUAUUUUUGUGCAUAUAGAUUGAUGUGGCUAUAUUGUUGUAGUAGAUAUAGUAUAUCUACUACUUUGUUACUAUGUUUUCCAAUUGCUGCCAAAUAAACAUGGUCCA